UACGAGGGAUCCUAGCGUUGCUCGGAAUUAUUGGGCGUAAAGCGGGUGUAGGUGGCUUGGUAAGUCGGGUGUGAAAGCCCAGGGCUCAACCCUGGAAGUGCAUUCGAUACUGCUUAGCUUGAGUGCGAGAGAGGUUAAUAGAAUACCUGGUGUAGUGGCGAAAUACGUAGAUAUCAGGUGGAACACCGGAGGCGAAGGCGGUUAACUGGCUCGACACUGACACUGAGACCCGAAAGUGCGGGGAUCAAACAGG
rnacentral:rRNA from 1 species